rnacentral:rRNA from 1 species
GACGAACGCUGGCGGCGUGCUUAACACAUGCAAGUCGAACGGUGAAGCUGGAGCUUGCUCCGGUGGAUUAGUGGCGAACGGGUGAGUAACACGUGAGAAAUCUGCCCUUGACUCUGGGAUAACUGCGGGAAACUGUAGCUAAUACCGGAUAUUUUCCUUGGUGGGCAUCCACUGGGGAAGAAAGAAUUUCGGUCAAGGAUGAUCUCGCGGCCUAUCAGCUAGUUGGUGAGGUAAUGGCUCACCAAGGCGACGACGGGUAGCCGGCCUGAGAGGGUGACCGGCCACACUGGGACUGAGACACGGCCCAGACUCCUACGGGAGGCAGCAGUGGGGAAUAUUGCACAAUGGGCGCAAGCCUGAUGCAGCAACGCCGCGUGAGGGAUGAAGGCCUUCGGGUUGUAAACCUCUUUUAGCAGGGAAGAAGCGAAAGUGACGGUACCUGCAGAAAAAGCACCGGCUAACUACGUGCCAGCAGCCGCGGUAA